rnacentral:rRNA from 1 species
AUGGCCACGAUGAAGAAGUGUGAAUUGACUAAGAUGGAGGCACUGCAAAAGGAACUUAGCCAAGUGUUGGGCAAGAAAAGGUACCUCCUAGUUCUGGACGAUGUUUGGAAUGAAGAUAGACAAAAGUGGGAUGAUCUGAGAUCAUUACUAUGCUCAGAUGCUGGCUCAGGUAGUGCUAUAAUUGUGACAAGCCGCGGCAAUCAAGUUGCUUCUGUCAUGGGAACAAUUCGUUCACAUCAGAUAUCACUUCUGAAUGAGGAUCAAUCAUGGGAGCUUUUCCACAGGAAUGCAUUUGUAGGGGAAGUGGAAAAGCAAGAUGAAUUGAUUUUAAUGGCUAGGAAUAUUGUCCAGAAGUGUAAGGGGUUGCCUCUUGCUAUCAAGACCAUUGCAGCUUUACUUCGUAUGGAGCAUCAUAAUGAGUGGUUUCCUGUUCUGGAUAGUGAUGUCUGGAAGAAUGAGAUCCUCAGAACUGGGUGUAUACCUGCAUUACAGCUAAGCUACGAUCACUUGUCACCCGAAGCAAAAAUAUGUUUUUCCUUCUGUGCUAUUUUCCCGAAGGGUAGCAUGCUCGAUAAAGACAUGGUGAUCCACUUAUGGCUUACCAAUGACUUCAUUGCAUCAGAAACAAGGGGCCAACAAAUUUUUGAAGUCUUGGUUUGGAGAUGUUUCCUCCAAGAUGUGAAAACUCAAGAGAAUCUGCUCUCCGUAUUUCGAGAUGAGUACAUUCACAGACCAACUACAUGCAAGAUGCAUGAUCUCAUGCAUGAUCUUGCUGAGUCCGUAAGCGGAAAUGAUUGCACAGUUCUUCAAAAGGACUCACCUAAUGAAAUUAUGCAAGGAUCCACACAUGCUAGUUUAUUACUACGUGAUGUUCGACAUUUGUCACUUGUUUCUAUCAAUAAUACUAGAGCAGCCAUGAAGGAUAUUAUAGCUCCCCGCACAAUAAUAUUCCAAAGGGAGUGGUUUGGAACUCCUCUGAUUAACAGAGUCAAAAUUCAUGUCCUUACGAGCAUUGAAGGUCUUCGCUAUCUAGAUUGUUCUUAUUCUCUUAUAGAUGCACUGCCAAAAGCCACUUCCAUGUUGUAUAGCUUGCAAACUCUAAAGCUCAUUGGUUGUGAAAAUCUCAAGAAAUUACCGGAAGGGAUGAGAUGCAUGAGCAGUCUUCGGCACGUCUUCCUCAUUGGGUGUUAUUAUUUGAAGCACAUGCCAAAGGGUAUUGUGAAGGAAAUAUGCCCUAGAGGCAAUAAUAAAGUUAUUAUUUAUUUCCUUAUAUCAUGA